GUCCAGUGACUUUGAAAAAGAUUUUGGGGUCCUGGUGGAUAAUCAACUGAACAUGAGCUCCCAGGGUGACACAGUGGCCUAAAGGGCUAAUGCAAUAAACAGGGGAAUCUCAAGUAGGAGUAGAGAGAUUUUUACCUCUGUAUUUGGCACUGGUGUGACUGCUGCUGAAAUCCUGUGUCCUGCUCUCAUUUCCACAAUUCAAGAAGGAUGUUGAAAAAUUGUAGAGGAUUUAGAGAAUGGCCAUAAGAAUGAUUAAAGGAUUAGAAAACAUGCCAUAUAGUGAUAGACUCAAGGAGCUCAGUCUUAUUAGUCUCAGAAAGAGAAGGAUAAGGGGUGAUGGUUAUAGUCUAUAAGUAUGUACUGGAGGAACAAAUAUUUAAUAGUGGGCUCUUCAAUCUAGCAGAGAAAGGUAUAACUCGAUCCAAUUACUGGAAGUUGAAGCUACACCAAUUCAGAGUAAGGUGUAAAGUUUUAACAGUGAGAGUAAUUAACCAUUGGAACAACUUAUCAAGGGUUGUGGUGGAUUCCGCAUCACUAACCAUUUCAAAAUGAAGAUUGGAUAUAUUUUCUAAAAUUAUUUUUUCUAGGAAUUAUUUGGAGAAGUUCUGUGGUUUGUUUUAUUCAAACUAGAUGAUCACAAUGGAGAUAACCCAUCCCAUCUCCUAGAAUUGGAAAGGACCUUGAAAGGUCAUCGAGUCCAGCCCCCUGCCUUCACUAGCAGGACCAAGUAUUGAUUUUGCCCCAGAUCCCCAAGUGGCCCCCUCAAGGAGGGAACUCACAACCCUGGGUUUAGCAGGCCAAUGCUCAAACCACUGAGCUAUCCCUCCCCCCGGUCCCUUCUGCCCUUGAAAUAUAUGAAUUGAUGAAAAAAAAUAAGUAGCUCUGGAGGCAGAAGUUAUGAAUGUGGCCUGGGUUCAUGCACUGAUGUGAGGUGGUUGAUUUCUUUUCUCUGUUUCUUCAUAACUGAGGUGUUUUGUGCCUUGCUUCAAUGACUUGUAUGCGUCAAAUACAGAAUAUUAAUGUUGGCUGGUGGUAACCAGUAUGUCUGUGUGGCGGAUUACUUCUCUACGACUUACUGUAUGUUAGCUCGGCAACCAUCUCUGGCUAUCGUCUGAUGAUUUGUAAGCUACGUAAUAGAAUUCAGCAUCAGUUCCUACAACUCACCAAAAUACAAGAAUUUGUAUGCCUGUCAAAAUUACAAAUGGAGUCCAGCAUACAGCAUCAGAAACCUGGUUUGUGUCCGGCAAUGAGCAGAGAGAGGAUCUCACCACUUGUAACCUCCUGGGCAGUAUCUGAAUGAGAAGGCUUUUGUACACUUUGCAACAGGGAAAGCAGAUAGAAACUGUACUCUAAUGUAUUGCAUGAUCAACCUAGCUAAAGAAAUAUCUUGAUCUCUACCGUUAUAGAAAUCAAAUGCCAAGAUGCAGUGCUGUGAAAGAACAGAUGCUAAUUUUUAUUGCAUUUUUAUAUUUAUAUAACGCCUUUCAUUUCAAAGACAGAAUACAUGUACUCAAAAUG